GUGUCAGCCGCCGCGGUAAUACGGAGGAUGCGAGCGUUAUCCGGAUUUAUUGGGUUUAAAGGGUGCGUAGGCGGACUUAUAAGUCAGUGGUGAAAUCCUGCAGCUUAACUGUGGAAUUGCCGUUGAUACUGUGAGUCUUGAGUAUGGUUAAGGUAGGCGGAAUGUGUAAUGUAGCGGUGAAAUGCUUAGAUAUUACACAGAACACCGAUUGCGAAGGCAGCUUACUGAACCAUAACUGACGCUGAGGCACGAAAGCGUGGGGAGCGAACAGGAUUAGAUACCCUGGUAGUCCACGCCGUAAACGAUGAUCACUCGCUGUUAGCGAUACACAGUUAGCGGCUAAGCAAAAGCAUUAAGUGAUCCACCUGGGGAGUACGGCCGCAAGGCUGAA
rnacentral:rRNA from 1 species